GGCCCCGUAGCGCAGAAGAGUAGCGUGCCGCCCUGUCACGGCGGAGGUCGCCGGUUCAAGUCCGGUCGGGGUCG
rnacentral:tRNA from 1 species